CCUCACAAAUAUUUCUAAAAUAUUUCAAUCAUUUUUGUCAACUAAAACAAGUAAAACUAAACUAGAAAUAAGAAAAGAAAGAAAACAAAGUGUAUUUUUUCCUCUCCCAAAAUCUGAUGCUUUUACACUAGUUUUGAUUCUCUAUUUAUAGAGAAAAUUUUCUCCAAAACUAGUAUAAACGUGUAAUAGGUAGUGGAGAGAAGUGGCUUCAAAAUCUGAGAAGAUGAGAACAAGUGGCAAGCUCUUAUUUGUUGCUACAUUCAAGAUAGACACAUGGCUCCUUAUGAUUUGCUUUGCAGGAGAGGAAAAGACCUUACAAAGAAUGAUGCACACUAACUGGGGGACAAGGUUCAAACAUGGAUCUGCAGUUUGGAGAAAGUGGCGUGGGUGGCAAUGUGGCACUCUUACAUAUGUUGAAUUGGUAAAUGAAAAACAAAUUUAUAUAUAUGUGUGUACGUGGGUUCAUGAUAUUGAAAUUAGGCCUACUUCUUGAUGAAAUUAUGCGGGCCUUUGAUGAGAAUGGUUUGAGAUCAAGUUGAUUGGAGAGAGAGAGGCAUGGAGAAAUGUUGGGCUUGGGCCAAUGGGCUUGUCAUCUUCUUUGCACUUUUUUAUUUUACCAACUUCUGCACCAAAUCUGAAAAAUGAUGUGAAGUUAGAGUAAAUUAACUAUAUUCAACUAAAAUAAUCUUUCAUCAUGAAAAUAAAUAAUUUAACUCUAAUUUAUCUACCCAAAUACCCUAAGAACUAUGCAAUUUACACACUAAUCAUAACCCUCAACUAGCUUAUUGCUAGUCUCCAGCAAUUCAAGCGAAAUGAUAAAUGUCAACAUUAUAUAUUUCAGGUCAAAAUUUAAAAGAACCUAAUAGUAUUAACACAAAAUGUUAGUAACAAGUCAAUAAGAGUUAUCAAAAUUACUUUGAACAAAUCUAGAAUGGUGAGACAGUGCACCAAACUUGUACCUUUCUACCACAAACCAUAGCACAUAAAUACUUUUGAAAAUUAUGCCAAGUAAAAGUCUCAACUACAUUAACCUCUCAUGUAAUUGAAAGUAUUUAAGGUUAAAGGUUUCACUUAUGGAGUUGGAAAUCAAGAAGUGAGCACUCAUCAAAUGGAUAUAUUUUUAGGAAAAACUUUUAAAUAAUCAUUGAAGUAAAUAUAGGAAAAUUAUUUGGACAACCACCAUGAAAAGUACCACAAAACAAACUUUUUCAGGAUUUCUUUAAGUUAAAUAGACAAUCUUUACAUUUCUUCUAAGAGCCAUAAGCAUGAAAAUAAUACUUUUUUUUUCUUGAACACGAGAGUCAUAAUUGAAAAUGAUAGAACUAUUGGUCUUGUGCUCUCUUUUUUUUUCUUUUCUUUUUUUUUUCAUGAAGAACAUAAUAAAAGGCUCUCUAAUAAGAUUUGUCUAUAGAAAAUAUUAUCCUUAGAACAUCAUCCAUUUAUACCACAAUACCUUGUCCAAAUAAUUAUAACCAUUUCUAAGAAUCAAUAAAAAAUUAAAAGUUGUUUCCUCAAGUCUCACCUCUCACAGAAAAGAAUGAAUUCUUAACCAUGGAAAAUUUCUAAGCAAAUAUGUGCGAACAACCAUCUUACCACAAUUUUGGCAUGUGCAUUAGGUCACUCUAGAGAAACUCUUAGUAAUAAAGAUACUAAAAAUUGACUCAAAAGUAACAUUUUGCAAGAAUAAAAAAGUCAUUUUUAAAAAAUUUGACCGUGAAAAUAUUAAUAUGACAAAAAUCAACAUGAACGUGCAUGAAUAUGCUCACCAUCCCAACCAAAAUCAAACAAUGUCCUCAUUGUUUAAAAAUAUAUACACGAGAAGAGUCAAAUGAGAACAUGUAGAGAGUGAGCGAAUGCAAAAUGAUAUGAUAUUGAUUCUUUGAAAAAUAAAAAUAAAUUACAAGACAAAUUAUCAUAAUAAAAUAAAAAAAAGGAAAAACAAAAAUAAAAUAUACUGGAAAUGAAGAAAAUAAGGAAAGAUAGAACCUGGUUAAUCUUGGCAAACCGGAGAAAAGUCUCCUUAGGUUGCUUCACCAACUCAAUAUUCUUGAGUAUCAAGUAUCAAAAAUAAAUUUUAUUUUAUCCCGUGUCUCAAAAAUGGAAGCAUUAGUAACAUUCUUAGGAUAAAGAAAAUGUUCGUUUUCAGUAUCAUGGAGGAAAUAGUGUGAUUGAUUCUUUGAGAAAAGUUUGCAAAUUUCUUCCACAAUAAGGUUUAUCACAUCAGUAUGAUAACACUUAUUUUCAUUCAGAGUUGUUGAAAGAAUUUCAGCAUGAGAAAUAUUGUCACUCCGAAUAGUAAUGGCAUCAUCCUCAUCAAAUUUGUAUGAAAUAGGAUUAUAGGUUGGUGCCAUUGUUUCCUCAUUUGUUUGGAAUUGGCUGAAACAAUGUGAAUUAACUUUGUUGGUUAAUUAUGAAAAUUGAGUUUGAGUUUCUCUAAGUUCCUCCAUCAUGUGUGUAGUGCACCAAAAAAAAUUUUUAGAUUAUUUAAAUGUUAAGUGUGAUGAAUUGUUUUAUUUAAGUGUUGUUAUUUUAUUUAGUUGAUUAUUUGUUUUAUUUGAUUAUUUAUUUUUUUUAUUUAAUUGUUAGAAUUGUUUGGUAUAAUCUUUUAAAUUUAAAUUUGUUAAUUGUUUGUUUGGUUAAUUAAUUUAAUAAGUGAAUAAUUGUGUAACAUGUUUAUUUUACUAUUAGUGUUACAUUUUAAAUAAGUGUGACAAUUGAUGUGAUUAUGUGAUAUUUGGUUGAAUGCACUAAGGUGCAUGGUAGAUAGUGAUGCACCCUAGUGAUUUAGUGUGUGCUAGUGCAUGGUAGCAUGGUACACAUGUGUAGAUUUUCUACACACUUUAUAUUUCCUUAUUUUAGAUUUUAUUUGAAUUAAUUUAUAAAAAAAAAAGAAAAAAAAAAAGAAAAGGGAAAUGGAGAGGUUUGGACGUGUGAACCUAAAUGGGAAAGGAAGAUUGAGAUUUUAUUGUAUUUGGGUCAAUUAUAGUUAUCAUCUUAUUUCCAUAAUUUUUUUUAAGAUAAAACAAAUUAAAAAAAAAGAUAAGGUGAUAAUGUUAUUUUGGGAAAGGAGUGAUCAUCCUUUAUUUUUCCACCUAUUGUGAUAUAAUUAGAUAAAUAUGAAUUAAGACAAAUCUUUGAAGAGAAUAGGAAAGUUACCUUUUCCUUUUAUUGAGUCAUUAUGGGAAAAUUAGGAUAAAGAGGGAAUGGGAAAAAUGGAAGAGCAUUAUGCUCUUGGGGCUGCCGAAUUAUAGAGAGAAGAGAGAGAGAGAGAGAGGGCGUGACCUAGAGAGAAAAGGAGGAGAAGAAAGAAAGGAAGAAGAAGAAGAAGAAAAAAGGGUUCAAGCUAGGGUAAGGUUUUUGGUUGUUUUCCUUAUGAUUAAUCUAGUAUUAUUAUUGGGUUGUCUCUAACCUUGUUCAUCUUCUUCUUCAUCUUGAUUAUUCAAAAUAUACAACCCCCUAGGGUUUGAGCAAGGAGGUUAUUGGACUCUUGGUUGGAUUUGAUUCUUGAUUUUCUAUCAAGAAGAGGCUCGUUGAAAGAUUGUGAAAAUUCUUAGCUUGGACCUGAGGUAGCAAAUAGGAUUUCUUUAUGGCACACGUGGUGACGUGAGGAGUUCUUUCAUCAUGGGGUGUAUGGCGUGGGGUAAUCCUAUGGACGGAAAAACGAUCAACGUAGAACGCCAUUUAAAUUAUGUUUUGUUUUUAAGAGACUUUCCUAAAUUAUCAGUGGGACUCAGUUAUUUAAAUUUUUGGUUUCUUUGAACUUUGCAUAAAAAUCUAUGUUUUAUUUUAAAACUUAUGGCGCCAACUUGCAUGGUUUUAAACAAGUCCCCCUGAGACUUUGAUAAUGAAUGGUAUUCUUUUAUAAACUA